UAGCAUGAAGUCAAACAAGUGAACCCGCUGAAUUUAAGCAUAUCAAUAAAGCGGGAAGAAAAACUGUGG
rnacentral:rRNA from 1 species